CACCUGCACGUCCAACAUCUCAUUCCAAGAUCAUGGGCUUUAAUAUGGAGUUGGACCCCCCUUUGCUGCUAUAACAGCCUCCACUCUUCAGGGAAGUCAUUAAUAUGGAGUUGGACCCCCCUUUGCUGCUAUAACAACCUCCACUCUUCUGGGAAGGCAUUAAUAUGGAGUUGGUCCCCCCUUUGCUGCUAUAACAGCCUCCACUCUUCUGGGAAGUCAUUAAUAUGGAGUUGGUCCCCCCUUUGCUGCUAUAACAGCCUCCACUCUUCUGGGAAGGCAUUAAUAUGGAGUUGGACCCCCUUUGCUGCUAUAACAGCCUCCACUCUUCUGGGAAGUCAUUAAUAUGGAGUUGGACCCCCCUUUGCUGCUAUAACAGCCUCCACUCUUCUGGGAAGUCAUUAAUAUGGAUUGGACCCCUCCUUUGCUGCUAUAACAGCCUCCACUCUUCUGGGAAGGCAUUAAUAUGGAGUUGGACCCCCCUUUGCUGCUAUAACAGCCUCCACUCUUCUGGGAAGGCUUUAAUAUGGAGUUGGACCCCCCUUUGCUGCUAUAACAGCCUCCACUCUUCUGG
ensembl:lncRNA